CUGAAGGAAAUAACCAAAAAAAUUAAGUGCUUACAAUACGGGUUGGGAGGAAAGCCCUGCUGCUUGCUGCAUGUCUGUCCUGUCAGCCUGUCUUGGCCGCCGUCCUGUGCAGCUGCAGACCCCCCUGUGGAUGGAGCUCCUUGCAGGUUCCGGCUUGGGUAGCACGUUAGUUCAGCACGGUGGAAGGCGAGCAAGGGGAGCAGUCCCGUUUCCGAGUUUUUCCAUGAAUGGCUCCCUGCUCACUAGCAGUGCGACCUUGACGUUCAUUUAAUUUCCCUGCCUCUCAACUGUCUCAUCUGUAAAGCGGGAAUCAUCGUAAUUCUGAUUUCUUCAGGACUGCACAGGAGAGCGCUGGCCACGCGUGAGCCAUCAGUCACCUGCCGCCACUGCUGCCCCCCCUCUCUCCUGCCUCCCCACGUGUGUCCCCAGCUGGCAGGAACGCACCUCUCCAGGAAGCCUCCCACACCGCGGCCUCCUCCCCGCGCCUUCCCCACGGCGUGGCCCGCCUGUCCUUCCGGCAGGUUUCUGUAAAACCACGUCUUUCCUCCGUAGACCGCAAGUUCCUGCCACACAUGCUUGUUCAGGACCUACUAUGUGCCAAGCACUGGGCGUAGCAGUGGCUACAACAGGCAGUUUCCUUCCCUGCUGGACGGUGCUUAACUGAACAACUACUGUCACCUGCCAUUGAACACCGGAAACCCAAGUCUCCUCAGGAGCCCUUCAGGGGCUUGCACCUUCUCGGGAGCAGGGGCAAUUGGGGAGGAAAAUGUAUGCCUUACAGAGUUUAAAGUGUUUCAUGAGAAAAGCCUUUAACCAGAGAAGAGGAAAUGGACUCCUUAUAUUGUUAGACUUUUAAAGUGGAGUUGUAGACGUUUGGCUUAAUGAAGUUGUGGUGUCAAAAGCCAAUUUGUAUUGUAGGAUUUGAUGUAUAGUAUUUACUGUAACACAUGUGACAUGCAAUAGCAACUGAUAUGGUAAAUAUGUGCAUCUGUGUGUGUGAAGAGCAUAAGCUGAUGAAAAUUUGCCUCAGGAUGGAUAAAAAAAUAUAUUUUUAUACAGCAUUAUAUUUAACUUAGAAUUAGCAAUAAUUUUCCCUGUAAAUUAGCAGAGCAAAAAAAAGUUUUAUUGAAGAUAUUUCCAAACAUACAAGUAUAAAGGACAGUAUAAUAAACUCUUACGUGCCCAUCCCCUGGAAUCCACAGAUAUCAACAUUCUUCCAAUCCCCUUUCAUCUGUUCCCAGCCCCACUUUUUUCUGGAAUAUUUUCAAACAAAUCCCUGAUACUAUAUUAUUUCACCAAUGGAUACUAUCUAUCUGUGAGUUAAAGGGCCCCUCUUUUAAAAAUAAACCUCAAUACUAUUAUCAGCAAAAUUAGCAAUAAUUCCUUAAUAUCAUCUGAUAUCCAGGCUAUAUCCAGUUGUUCCCAACUGACUCAAAAAUGUCUUUUUACAGUUGAUUUGUUUGAAUCAGGAUCUAACUGAGAUGAACACACUGUGUGCAUUUCAUUGGUAUACCUCUUAAGUGUCUUUUAGUCGUUUCCCCCCACCUCCCUGCCUGCCUCCAACCUCCUGUCAUUCUUUUUUUCUUCCUGCCAUUAAUUUGUUGAAGAAAGUGGGUUAUUUGUCCUGAAGCUCCAUGCCUUCUGGAGUUGGUGAUUGAUGCCUCCAGAGCCAUUUGGCAUGUAAACUGAUGACAGAACUGAGACUUAAUUAGCUUCUGAUCAUUUGCAAGAUAAACUCAGAGGAGGUUUUUGUUUGUAUUUUAAUAAAUCUCUCCCAGGGAGGACCACCUGGUGGCACUGUUAGGCACAACAUUUCCUUUGUGGGUGAGUCUCCACGUUGUAACUGACCUUGCCCCUCCUGUACCUUAAGUUCUCUGCAUUUUCCUGGCACCCGCCUGCCACAGCAGCGUCUGCAUAGGCAAAAUGAAUAGCGUCAGGCCAGCUGGCAGCUCGUCUUGUCCGUAGCCCGUCUCCCUGACGUCUGCUCGGGUGGCUGACAAGAUCUGACCAGCCUGGUUUGCCUGGCUUGUCAUAGAAAUCACCACCUCUCCUCCAGAUUAGUUAGUUCAAAAGUAUAAGGAAGUGUUUUGGCGGAGACUGAAGGUUUUCAGUGUGUGUUAAAAUAAGCACUAAGACAUUCGGGAUGUUUUGGCUAAUUUGAUAGAAAAUGAUGGCAGCCUAGGUGUUUAUUUCAGCCAUGACCCCCUUAUCCAACUCCCCUUUCCUGCUUUCUCCACAAAAGAGAAUAAUCGACUUUGUCGGUUUCACCUUCGAUUACUAAGAUAGUUUCAGGGGAACAGGAAGUGCCCAUUUUUUUCAUCUUGAUAUUAGGCAAUUCCUGGAUUGAUCAGCUACAUCUUUCCAAAGUUUCUUCAUCAGAGACCCAGCAGAGUGACAGGCCCACACAGGGAGCAGCAGUGUUGACUGGGAAGUGGGUUCUAGAUCAAGGCUCUGGCACCAGGUCACUGAGUCGUACUCAGCCUCAGUGUAUUCAUCUGUAGAAUGCGAGCAACUAUCCCAAGGUGACAUUAUGAGGAUUAAAGGAGUUAAUGGGUGCACCUGUCAAGUAGUUGCUGUCAAUUAACAUCCAUACAACAAGCAAGCAAACUCAGCUUAAUUAGACUGGGCCUUCAGAGUUGGAGUUUGGUGAAUUUCAGGCCAUUUUUAAAUUUGAAUGAUCACAUUUACCUAGAAGCCUGACAUUAGAAUGAUGGAGUAGGGCUGUGUUUGAACUAUUGCAAAAUGAAUAAAUGAGGAGAAAGUAACUCACUAGCAUACGAGUAGUGCACACGCAAGCUCUAAACCGGAUAGUCGCAAUUUAUUUUUAGUUAAAAUUGGUUAAGAGCUAUUUUACCUGGAGUAUUUCCUUCUUUGUAAUUUAAAAUUAAACCUUCAGCCGAGGCAAGUGACUGUAAUUUGCAGGGAUUUCAGACUCUUGCUACGAUUCCGAUUUCCCUCUGGUCUUCUGGCUGUGGUGUCGCUGUGCGUUAGAGCAUCUCUGCUGAGGGGUCAGCUCACUAAAGCCAUUUAUUUUCUUAACAAUUUUGAGUACGUUAUUUAGAGCAUUUAAACUGCUUUUAGAGAAAUUACUGACAAGAGUAUUUAAACCCAGGCCCGGGUCACCGUAAAGAAGAGAAAGAGGAAGAGGAAAAACACCCUGUUCGACAUCCAAAAACCAUAAUUAUGGCCAUAAGUAAUCAUGUGCUCCUCUAAUAAAUUAUUGGAUUUAAGCCAAUAUAACUUGUGCAAAAUCGUUUAAAACGUUUCCUGAAGUGAAAAAAAAAAAAUCAAUCAUAUGGUUCUUUCUGUCACAUUUUGGGUUUGAACUAAUUUAUUUGAUGAUAUACCAAUGAUGAGAAGAAAACAAGAAUAUUUAAGGAAUUAAUGAUAUAGUGCCAUGAGAACUCUGCCAACCACUGAAAAAAAGAAGCCAAAAUAUUAACGGUAGAAAAUAUGUUUAUAUACAUUCAGAAUUUUAAUGAGAUUUCCGUGAUGUGUUAUCAGUUAAAUGCCAAAUUUCUCUGUACUUAAGCAGAUCAUACAGGUAUUAAAGAGAAUUUAGGUAAUAUGUUUUAAAAAAGUUCAUAUUUAGAGAAUUUUAGUUAAACUGCAUUCCUCAGCUGAACAGGUAAAAUCCUUAGAGAUUAUUCAUUUUGUGUGCAAUGAAAAACAAAAGUUAAGGAGUUUUAUGCUUAGCUGAGAAAAGCUGUGGGUUUUUUAUCAUAGAUUUUUCCCCCUAUUUAGACUGUUGCUGGCUGAUUCUCAUUUCUACACUGUAAUUUCCAGCUUAUCCUAAAUAUAGACACUGGAUUUGAGCCAUCCUAAUUAAACUGUGAAGUUCUUUUGUAGUGAGCGCUGAUGCUUCUGAAAUCAAUUUCAAGGUUUACACAAGCAGUGUACCCACCUUCCUGGUUUUCUUUCGCUUUAUGAACUUAUCUAGAAAUGAUAAAUCGCAAAUAAUAUUUUAGUGGCAAAUUUGUACUAUUCUUUUGCC
rnacentral:lncRNA from 1 species